GACGAGCCACACGAACGUUAUUCGGAAUUACUGGGCUUAAAGGGUGCGUAGGCGGCGCGGAAAGUUGGGUGUGAAAUCCCUCGGCUCAACCGAGGAACUGCGCCCAAAACUACCGUGCUCGAGGAAGAUAGAGGUGAGCGGAACUCACGGUGGAGCGGUGAAAUGCGUUGAUAUCGUGAGGAACACCCGUGGCGAAAGCGGCUCACUGGGUCUUUUCUGACGCUGAUGCACGAAAGCUAGGGGAGCAAACGGGAUUAGAAACCCCCGUAGUCC
rnacentral:rRNA from 1 species